rnacentral:rRNA from 1 species
ACAUGACAAAGUCGAGGGGUAACAUUGUGCUUGCACAGAUGACGACCGGCGCACGGGUGCGUAACGCGUAUAGAACCUACCUUUUACAGAGGAAUAGCCUUUAGAAAUGAAGAUUAAUGCCUUAUGGUAUUAUAGACUGGCAUCAGUUUAUAAUUAAAGAUUUAUCGGUAAAAGAUGGCUAUGCGUCCUAUUAGUUAGUUGGUAAGGUAACGGCUUACCAAGACAGCGAUAGGUAGGGGUCCUGAGAGGGAGAUCCCCCACACUGGUACUGAGACACGGACCAGACUCCUACGGGAGGCAGCAGUGAGGAAUAUUGGACAAUGGAGGAGACUCUGAUCCAGCCAUGCCGCGUGUAGGAAGAAUGCCCUAUGGGUUGUAAACUACUUUUAUACAGGAGGAAACACUGGUAUGUAUACCAGCUUGACGGUACUGUAAGAAUAAGGACCGGCUAACUCCGUGCCAGCAGCCGCGGUAAC